UACGGGGGGGGCAAGCGUUGUUCGGAAUUACUGGGCGUAAAGGGCUCGUAGGCGGCCAACUAAGUCAGACGUGAAAUCCCUCGGCUUAACCGGGGAACUGCAUCCGAUACUGGAUGGCUUGAGUUCGGGAGAGGGAUGCGGAAUUCCAGGUGUAGCGGUGAAAUGCGUAGAUAUCUGGAGGAACACCGGUGGCGAAGGCGGCAUCCUGGACCGACACUGACGCUGAGGAGCGAAAGCCAGGGGAGCAAACGGG
rnacentral:rRNA from 1 species